rnacentral:lncRNA from 1 species
GGUGCUGCCUCAACAUGCAUCUCUAAAUUUAUCAGGGUCUCUGACGACCCGGCUAGCCUUAUAUAUUUUCUAGAAUUUUACCUUAGAAAGUAUGUAGCCAUGUCACGUAGCGGACCUAGAUGUUGAGUUCGGAACAUGAAAGAGGGUGAUUUGCACUUCUGCAAAUUACUAGUGCGGUAUCGACCGGAAUAACUUGUUUAAUCUAGUAGUAGCACGGAUUGCAGUCUUGUUGGUUGGUUCCAAAAUAAGUGCAUAUUUGAAAUCUGCAAGACAGGAGUGAGAGGAGGCAAAAGCUUACAUGCAUUUCCGUAAAUUUAAACGACGACAUCUCCCGUACAUUUCUUUUGUAAAUUGGAAAAAACCCUUGUUUCUGGAUGCAAGGUAAGCUAAGCAAACCAAUUAGCGAAUGCGCAAAUCCACUUGCGCAAGCUUAACAGGCAACCUGUCUUGCACUCAGCGACAUAGUGAUUUCAGCUAUUCUGAUUCCAUGCCCAUGGCAAGGGCAGCAUCCCAUGCUUUUAGAACACACACAGAGAGAGAGAGAGACCUUCGAUUGCCUCUCUGUAAUAGCCCAGUAUCUCCUGUGCAGCUCUUCUUUGUAAAUAAGCUUUGACAUUCUGAAUGAGAAAAAAAAAUGAGGGAAAAUGCGGGAGGGACUGACAAGAUUGAAAAUGAAAGUGUAGCUCUAAAUUUGCUAUAUG